AAUGUGUUAUCAGAUUGUACCAAAGAUAGGAGAAGCUACGCUAUUACAAGAAUUUCCAACAUGUGACUCUGUGAAGUCUUUUGUCAGUUUGAUGGCAAAGAACAGAAACAGAAAUUUUCUGAGAUCAAAAUCCAGGAAAAUAAGAUUUCUGCCUGAAAUGGGGAAGAGGAAUAAAUUAUGUUCUUUGAGUAAGACAAUCACUUAGCAUGUCCCUAUGAUGGAAUACUAUUACUUCUGUAGACAACGAUGAGAAAAAGAAAAGAACAACAACAACAACACCAUAAUUAUUCUGUGACAAAAAUGACUCUACUGCUGAGAAGAUUUUAUAAGCCCUAUAGUACUUCAUGAUGCAGAGGAAAUCAUUAAUUUGGAACAGGAAGGAGGCAUACAAUUGGCAACGAAUAGAAGAAAGCUUGAGAAAAUGGUUCAGAGUGCUACAUCUGGAAUUGAGUAACUUGGGGAAAGAAUACAGAGUAAAAUCAGCAAAGGGAAAAUGUACAUGGGAUGAAGUCCAGUAGAAACCAGAGUCAAGCCUUCCAAGUGUCCUCUCCAGAUGGAGUCACACAGAGAUGCUCAAUUUUCCUAGAAACUACCUGUGGUGAAAUGUAUGAAGUAAUGCAACCAGUUCUGGUGCUGCAACUCAGGAUAGGAUUCAUCUUUGGACCCCUAGGCAUUUUACCCAGGAAUCCUGGUGCACAACUUGAGAGCUUCUGUCUGACUGGAUCAGGAAACCAUUGACUUCUGAUUCAGUGACUCCAAUAUCCAAGCAUUGAAGGGUGGUAAGUAAUUGACUUUAAUUCUAAUAGUGUUCCUAAUGGUAAUGAGAUCUCAUUUGAUUGAGCUUUGGUUUUUUG